UGGGGAAUAUUGCGCAAUGGGGGGAACCCUGACGCAGCCAUGCCGCGUGAAUGAAGAAGGCCUUAGGGUUGUAAAGUUCUUUCGGUAUUGAGGAAGGUUGAUGUGUUAAUAGCACAUCAAAUUGACGUUAAAUACAGAAGAAGCACCGGCUAACUCCGUGCCAGCAGCCGCGGUAAUACGGAGGGUGCGAGCGUUAAUCGGAAUAACUGGGCGUAAAGGGCACGCAGGCGGUUAUUUAAGUGAGGUGUGAAAGCCCCGGGCUUAACCUGGGAAUUGCAUUUCAGACUGGGUAACUAGAGUACUUUAGGGAGGGGUAGAAUUCCACGUGUAGCGGUGAAAUGCGUAGAGAUGUGGAGGAAUACCGAAGGCGAAGGCAGCCCCUUGGGAAUGUACUGACGCUCAUGUGCGAAAGCGUGGGGAGCAAACAGGAUUAGAUACCCUGGUAGUCCACGCUGUAAACGCUGUCGAUUUGGGGGUUGGGGUUUAACUCUGGCGCCCGUAGCUAACGUGAUAAAUCGACCGCCUGGGGAGUACGACCGCAAGGUUA
rnacentral:rRNA from 1 species